CAGCUACCCCUUGAGGAAGGCCUUAGGUAUUUUCCUCAAGGGCUGCCACGGUUGGUAGUGUUUACUCCACUGAUCACAUUCACUCUGUGGGUGUUUAUUUACUGUUUACCUAGUCAUGGUAAAUCAAUCAAUCACAUAUUUCUCCAUUUUUAUUUCUCAAAAGAUGACCCCGUUCCAUUUCCUCAUCAUCACCCAACAAGGGAGGUACUAUUGUCUUUGUUUAAUGGAUGAAGACACUAAACCUGCAAGGGUAAGAGUCUUGCCACAAGUGGGUCACAAAUCUAAGAAGUGGAUCACAUAUCUAAGAAGUGGAUCACAUAUAGAUUGUAAAGGCAGAGACACAGAGGGAGAGCACUAUGUGAUGUUGAAAGCAGAGAUUGGAGUUAUGCAGUUUUGAGACAAAGUGAAAGGGGAGUAAAAAGCAACCAGAGAAAAGAAGCAGAUGGGGAAACCGCUUGUGAGAAUGCCUUGUUCUGCAAAACCUUAUCACAGGGGCAGCAAGGGGAGCUGCCUUCUAUGUGACCUUACCUGAGUAGUUCCCAAAUCCUUGUUCUUGGACAUGGGAGGGCUGGAUGCCCAAAAAUCUCCUGAGGAACAUGAAUUACAAAACCCAAGAAAAACAGAACCCCUGGCUUCACUCUGAUUUGGAGGGAUAAAGUGGGGUGUAGCAGGGUUAGCAAGUCUUAGUCCAAUGGACCAGUGUCUUAGUCUAUUUUGGGCUGCUAUCAUAGAAUACUCGACCCUGGCUAAUUUAUGCAGAACAGAGAUUCGUUUCUUACAGUUCUGCAGACUGGGAAGUUCAAGGGUGAGGAGCCUGCAUCUUCUAAGGAACUUCUCGCUACAUCUUUGGAUGGUAGAAGCAGAAGACAAG
rnacentral:lncRNA from 1 species